CGCAUGCGCUGCUAUACAUGCAGUCGAGCGGACAGAUGGGAGCUUGCUCCCUGAUGUUAGCGGCGGACGGGUGUGUAACACGUGGGUAACCUGCCUGUAAGACUGGGAUAACUCCGGGAAACCGGGGCUAAUACCGGAUGGUUGUUUGAACCGCAUGGUUCAAACAUAAAAGGUGGCUUCGGCUACCACUUACGAGUAUUGAUCUGCGGCGUCUAUUAGCUAAUGUUUGUCGACUGUAAUGGCAUCACUAUGGUCACCGCCUGCGUAAGCCGACUUGAGAUGGUGAUCGGUUACACCUGGGAAUCUGAGACACUGUUCCAGACUGCUACGGGAUGCAGUCAGUUAGGGCAAUCUUCCGCAAAUGGAUGAAAGUCAUGACGGAGCAUCGUCUGCGUGAGUGAUGCAGGUUAUUCAGGAUCGUACAAGCUCUGUUGAUUAGGCGAAGAACAAGUACCGUUUGAAUAGGCGCGGUACGUUGACGGUACCUAACCAGAAAGCCACGGCUAUCUACGUGCCAGCAGCCGCUGUAAUACGUAGGUGGCUAGCGUUGUCCGGAAUUAUUGGGCGUAAAGGGCUCGCCGGGCUGUUUUCUUAAGUCUGAUGUGAAAGCCCCCGGCUCCACCGGGGGAGGGUCAUUGGAAACUGGGGAACUUGAGUGCAGAAGAGGAGAGUGGAAUUCCACGUGUAGCGGUGAAAUGCGUAGAGAUGUGGAAGGAACAGCAGUUGUCGAAGGCGACUCUCUGGUCUGUUACUGAUCGCCUGAGGAGCGAAAGCGGUCGGGGAGCGAACAGGAUUACGAUAGCUUGUGUCGUCCACAUCCGUCACAAUGCAUGGGUGCUAAGUGUUGGGAGGGGUGCUUUCCGCCCUCUUAGUGCUGCAGUCCUAACGUAUUCAAUCGACUCCUCCUGGGUAGUACGGUGGCAAGUUUGAACCUAUCUAUUGAAUUGACGCGCGGGCCCGCAUAAGCGGUGGAGCAUGCUGGUUUAUCUCGGCAGCAACGCGAAUAACGUUGCCGGGUCUUGACAAUCCUUUGACCAAUGCUUUAGAUAGGACGUCCCGCUUAGGGGGCAGAGUGACAGGUGGUGCAUGGUUUUUUUCAGCUCGUGUCAUGAGAUGUUAUGGUUGAAUUUUCGCAACGAGCGCAACCCUUGAUCUUAGUUGCCAGCAUUCAGUUGGGCACUUUAAGGUGACUGCCGGUGACAAACCGGAGGAAGGUGGGGAUGACGUCAAAUCAUCAUGCCCCUUAUGACCUGGGCUACACACGUGCUACAAUGGACAGAACAAAGGGUAGCGAAACCGCGAGGUUAAGCCAAUCCCACAAAUCUGUUCUCAGUUCGGAUCGCAGUCUGCAAAUCGAUUGCGUGAAGCCGGAAUUCCUAGUAAUCGCGGAUCAGCAUGCCGCGGUGAAUACGUUCCCGGGCCUUGUACACACCGCCCGUCACACCACGAGAGUUUGUAACACCCGAAGUCGGUGAGGUAACCUUUUAGGAGCCAGCCGCCGAACGGUGCACCAGAGU
rnacentral:rRNA from 1 species